rnacentral:tRNA from 1 species
GCCGAAGUGGUGAAAUUGGUAGACACGCUAUCUUGAGGGGGUAGUAGCCUAUGGCUGUGCCGGUUCAAGUCCGGCCUUCGGCA